UGCUAUGAUGAUUUAAAAAAAUCUCGUUAAUCUGAAAGAUUAAUCUGAGGACAAUAUUUUUCAAAUCCAUUAUUAAAUCUGAGC